rnacentral:rRNA from 1 species
AAUGAACGCUGGCGGUAGGCCUAACACAUGCAAGUCGAACGGCAGCACAGGAGAGCUUGCUCUCUGGGUGGCGAGUGGCGGACGGGUGAGGAAUACAUCGGAAUCUACUCUGUCGUGGGGGAUAACGUAGGGAAACUUACGCUAAUACCGCAUACGACCUACGGGUGAACGCAGGGGACCUUCGGGCCUGGCGCGAUUGAAUGCGCCGAUGUCGGAUUAGCGAGUUGGCGGGGUAAAGGCCCACCAAGGCGACGAUCCGUAGCUGGUCUGAGAGGAUGAUCAGCCACACUGGAACUGAGACACGGUCCAGACUCCUACGGGAGGCAGCAGUGGGGAAUAUUGGACAAUGGGCGCAAGCCUGAUCCAGCCAUACCGCGUGGGUGAAGAAGGCCUUCGGGUUGUAAAGCCCUUUUGUUGGGAAAGAAAUCCAGCUGGCUAAUACCCGGUUGGGAUGACGGUACCCAAAGAAUAAGCACCGGCUAACUUCGUGCCAGCCGCCGCAGUAA